rnacentral:rRNA from 1 species
AUACAGAGGGUGCGAGCGUUAAUCGGAAUUACUGGGCGUAAAGCGCGCGAAGGCGGCUUAUUAAGUCAGAUGUGAAAUCCCCGGGCUCAACCUGGGAACUGCAUCUGAUACUGGUAAGCUAGAGUUUUGGAGAGGGAAGUAGAAUUUCAGGUGUAGCGGUGAAAUGCAUAGAGAUCUGAAGGAAUACCAGUGGCGAAGGCGACUUCCUGGCCAAAAACUGACGCUGAGGUGCGAAAGCGUGGGUAGCAAACGGGAUUAGAAACCCCGGUAGUCC